UACGGAGGAUGCAAGCGUUAUCCGGAUUUAUUGGGUUUAAAGGGUGCGCAGGUUGUUUGAUAAGUCAGUGGUGAAAGUCUGUCGCUUAACGGUAGGAUUGCCAUUGAUACUGUUAGACUUGAAUAUGGAUGAGGUAGGCGGAAUGUGUAGUGUAGCGGUGAAAUGCGUAGAUAUUACACAGAACACCGAUUGCGAAGGCAGCUUACUAAUCCAUCAUUGACGCUGAGGCGACGAAAGCGUGGGGGAUCAAACACGGA
rnacentral:rRNA from 1 species